AGCUUGUCCAACUUUCUAGCAGGCUGAACAAAGAUGAUAAGGUCUGCAAGGACCAGCAAAACCAGCCCCUUCUGGACCAGUAGUGUUCCUUCCAGUCAAAGGAUGCUGGCCAGUAGCCACCAGUGCUUUGCUGUGCCUGUCCCAAGUUUCACUUCUCGCUAAGGAGAGAGGAGGCCUUUGCCAGCACAGUCAUCACAGCACCUUCUGUGAGCACCAGAGACUGGCUCUUUGCACUCACCAAGCUCCAGCAACUGCUGCCAAACCAGUGCUCCAUGACACAGAUCCUUCUCCCAGCCCAUCUGUCUCAUCCAUCAGGCCCAACACGAGCCCUAAGUCAGCAUGGCACAGGCAAUACGCUCCCUAUCUCAUCACACACACCUCUGUGCAGCCAAAGGAGCAGAACAGUUGCAGACUUGGUGUGAAACCCAACUACCCACUAGCCCACCUUCUGCAGAGCACAAGUAUGCUCAUUUCCUCUUUGGAGGAGUGCCAGCAAUAACACACCACCAAAUUCUGGCCUGUUUUAACAAUAGCACACACUUCAUCUUGCAGGUUAUUGGACCUGCCUUCUUGGACCAAACUUCACCACAAUAGUUUCACCUUAAUCAUGUGGACAUGCAGGGUCUUUAGAGACUCCCCCAGGGCGGAUGCCGGAGCAGAUUCUGCAGUCCAACUGUUUUCUCCCUUCAUGUGGGGGCACUCCUGUUGCCAUAGACCUGUCUUUAAAGACUAGAGGGAGACUCGGCUGCUGGCUUGUCAACCUCCAGUAUAAAAAAUAAGCAACCAUCUUCAAUCCAAAGAAAAGUAUUUACUGUCUCUGUAAGAAAUACAUUCCUCAAGUGGGGACGGGGGAAUUUUUCCCCUUACUGAGUGUAAUUUUUUCUGACAGCAGGGAAGACAUAUAAUUGGAGGUAGAUCUUCUCAAGACUGUUUUUUGUGACAUAAAUAUAUGGCUAAUCUUGCUUGCUAGAUGCCUGAUUUCUCUUUGUCAGUACUUCAACUGAUGCACUUCCAGCUUCUCCCUUUCCCAUCCUACCCUCUGUUUCUAGAGUCCCAGGGUCAAGUCCACGAAUUCAUCUGAAAUAUUAGUGGAGAAUGAACCCUAUGGGCUGAUCGGCAGUGGAGGUGGAUGUCCUCAGGAAAGCAGGGACAGAGGAAAGCCACAGCACUCUUUUCACUGAAACGCUUCUUGUACUAGGGAGGGAAUUAAAACAUGAUGGUUGCCCAAGGCUUGGCUAGGAUUUUCAGCUAAGGCCUCCUGCAUGCUUCUGAAACACUGACGAGCAUUCUGGACAUCUUGGCUGCGCUGCCAGUCCUUGGCUCCCGCGUAACUGCUCUGACUUCCAGCACACUUGGAAUGUGCACCGACUUCAAGGGUGUUGGUAGGUUGACAAUCCAGCUGCACUUCUGAAGCUCAACCACAGACUCAGGAAUCCAACUUGAGCCUUGAUUUUUUUUGGAAAAGUAUGCCUUCAGUCAACACAGCAGUAUAGGACUUGGCCUGGCUGUCCUUAAAAGCUAGCAGCACAUUAUACAUCUUGUGCAGCCCGAGCUUUGCCUUGAGAAGGCUGUGGCUCUCUCAGAUAAACAGAGCCUUAUCUAAUUAGUUAUUUAUAUAUCAACAGUCACCACAGAGUGCUGAAUGCUGCAAAAUUAUAUCAGAGGUGCGAGAAGGAAAUUGAGCUUCAUGUUUCGAAAUGGAAACAGGCAUUAACAAUUCUGGUGAUAACGUGCUCCUUGCAAUGUCCCUUCACAAGGCAAUUUCUGUGGUGCUGUUUGACCCUGAGGCUGAGCUCAGGGAAAUAAAUGCCAAAGUUCCAGCUCUGCAUUUCUGAGUGGUGCCUUCCAGUUUCUCGCUCAGCCCUCCAGGACCCUGCUGUAGAGCUAGCCAUGCGGCUUCAGCAAUGCUCAGAGCUGUCCCUCCCGAGGAAUGUGGAAGCAAGAGGACAGUUGCAGCCCUUCACAGCCCCUGCAAGGUGCCUGCUGCAAUGCAGGCAGCUACCUGCCACAGAUCUGGCUGUUUUCACCAAGCCCUCUGCAAUCUGCUCAUUUUAGAUGGCAGUCCAAAAGUACUGAGGGAACCUGAGCAACAGGAAACCUGUGUUUAUCAGCAUUUUUAGCUUGCUUCAUGCAUCACUAAUCGUGGAAAUGGAACACAUCAAAAAAAGAUGAGAGCUCUGCCAUCAGAUUCACCGGAGCUCUAACACGCUGUGAGAUGUUCCUGUGGGAAGUUCCCAUCCACCUCUUUACCUCGCAGAGAUACAGGAGCUUAUCCACCCACAACAGCCACAAAGACAGAACUGUUUUCAAGAUGUAAAUCGUUUCCUGUGUAUUAGAUCCUACUGGAGAUGUCGUUGGUCCAAAGAUUUGAGACUUUGGGGUGUUCCAUCUCUGUUCCAUCUGCAAUCUGAAUAAAUGACUUUGGUUUUCUGUGCAUUGUUGGUUCUUCCCCUACAUCAAUAGAAAGGAAUGAGUGCUUACAAUAUGCUACAAAUGAGCCAUUUCUAAACAGUAUAUGUUUUGCCAAACAAGUUCUUUCUUCUUCUCCUCUCCACUUUUGUGCUAAUAACAAGUUACACUUUGCUACUUCUUUAAAUUUUCUUUCUCC
ensembl:lncRNA